rnacentral:rRNA from 1 species
GACGAACGCUGGCGGCGUGCUUAACACAUGCAAGUCGAACGAUGAUGCCCAGCUUGCUGGGUGGAUUAGUGGCGAACGGGUGAGUAACACGUGAGUAACCUGCCCCUGACUCUGGGAUAAGCGUUGGAAACGACGUCUAAUACUGGAUAUGACUGCCGGCCGCAUGGUCUGGUGGUGGAAAGAUUUUUUGGUUGGGGAUGGACUCGCGGCCUAUCAGCUUGUUGGUGAGGUAAUGGCUCACCAAGGCGACGACGGGUAGCCGGCCUGAGAGGGUGACCGGCCACACUGGGACGGAGACACUGCCCAGACUCAUACGGGAGGCAGCAGUGGGGAAUAUUGCACAAUGGGCGAAAGCCUGAUGCAGCAACGCCGCGUGAGGGAUGACGGCCUUCGGGUUGUAAACCUCUUUUAGUAGGGAAGAAGCGAAAGUGACGGUACCUGCAGAAAAAGCACCGGCUAACUACGUGCCAGCAGCCGCCGUAA